CAGUCGCGCCGUGGUCGUCUGCUGCCGUGCCCCGUUUGCUGUGUUCCGUUGUGUGUGCGCGCUCGGCACUCCAAGUCCCCGGUCCUGUGGCCAAGGAAAGUACACGCACGUACCAACACACACACACACACACACGGACACACAAGGUUCCACGUAAUGGUUUUUUAUCCAAACCAGUAGGAAAAAGGGCUUGCACGAAAAAGUGAGUUGGAAAAUCUAAGCUCACAGCGAAAAAGAAAAAGGCAGCAGCAGUGCAGUAUCGCGUGUUUGUUGCGUGGUUUCGGUGCGUUUUUGUUGCGCUUCUCGUGUGUGCGUUGCGAAAAUAAAAAAAAAAAUAACCAGAUUGCGUGCGGUGUACGACACUUUCCAGUUGGCUUUCCGCUGGCCGGUCGGAACGGAAAACGGAAUCGAACGCGUCGGCGGAAAUUCGCGAGCGGAGGUUUUGCGGAGAAAAAACCCGGUGCAAUGGUGUAAAGUUUUUCUUUCCAAUUUUUAUUCCACAAAGAACGCUGUGCCGGGCACAAAAUUGACGGAAGAUUUUUACUCAACAACUGUGAACCAACAAGUCUGAUAAGAAAACGCAGCGUUUGAUGGGAAAAAUGUUGAUGGGAUUUUUUGUUUUGCGUUUCUCGAUAUCCCUAAACCGGCCAUUUUCAACCCGAACACACACUGGAGCCAAUCGGAAAAAUCGGCUAAUUCGCGAGUGAUUUUUUUAGUUUCAUAAAAAAAUUGUGACGAUUUCUCAAGCUAAUCAGUGAAAAGUGAUGAAGCAUUUUUAAAAUUCAGACACCAGCGAAGAGAAUACAAGACUGCAAUAAUUUUGUAAAACGUUCGUUAUUAUCCUUUGUCCCAUGCUAAAUUAAUGACAAAAAAAGACUCAACAAAAGGAAAUUAUGGCCUUUUUAAGUUUAAAAAAAACCCCGAAUAAUCAUGUGGAAGAACUGACUGACUGCGAGGGUUGAGUGUUGAGCCCAAAAACCCUUUACAAAAAUGUGAAUCUAAUGUGCUUAAACGAAUGAAAUGAUGACGCCUUUGAAGCCCGCGGGAUUGUCAUUUGCCACCAUGCCACCAACCAUGCACGGAACCCCACUCCACACACCACCAAGGCUAACAAUCAAUAGUUCCUCACCACCCAAAUCGGAACCAUCUGCUGCGGCACGGUGUCUCGGUGAUCAUUUAACUCCUGCCGCGGGGCUUUCGGGUCGGUUAAGACGGACCAGGUAAACUCCAACUUUACAAAGACCACCACAGAAAAAAAAACCGAUCAUUUGAGGCUUGAGGCAACUCUCCCGCUUUUUGUGUGUGUGUGUGGCACGGCACACCACAAACCGAAACAUAUGUAUCGAAUGUCGUCCGCGCCAUCGACGGCACCACCACCGGAGGCGGUGGAAGCUGAAACACGAAAAACAACAACCUUCCUUCCUCGCCGGGGAGCUGCCCGGGACUGACCUAUAAUUAUGAGUACCAGCCGGCAGGCAUUCCAAGGCCUUCCUGAAAGCCUUUCUGGAGGAGGAGGAGGUGGGGCGGUAUCGGCUUUCAGUUGUGCGGUCAAAUGGUCACUGAGGCUUCGGCUUCUUAUCGACACGUCCACGAAAACAUACCAAAAUCCUCUCCAGCCAAAGGCGUGGAGAAGCUUUCGCUGGCCAAAACCGGUGUCCAUGCUGGAGUUGGACCAGCAGCGCAAAAAAUUACAAAAUCUUCAAAGAAAUCACUGGAAUUUCGCAUGCCUUUGUUGCUGCGUUUACAAAUUUUUAAGAGUCUCUUUUUCCUUUUUUUUUAGCUCGGCUCGCUUCCCAUUUCGCUUAAGCGCUUUGCGGGCCACGGCCAAGAUGGUCGGACGCCAACUAACGCGUAUUCCGGCUUCAACGGUAGCAACCCAUUACACAGACACACACACACACCACCAUUCUCGGCAGCGAUUUUGAAAAGGUCAAAUCAUGUUUUCAUGUCGUUGUUUUUUGUUGCUUCGGGAUGGUUCGCACGCAACUCGGUUGUGGGGAAAUGCAAGCGAGCGGAGGAAAAAUGCACCACCAAUUGCAUUCCUUUCGGGACUGUGCGGAGAGCGGUGCAGCGGUGGGGUUUUAAUUUUUUUGUUGUGCUGCUGUUUCAAUCUUUGACAUU